rnacentral:rRNA from 1 species
AGCGAACGCUGGCGGCAGGCUUAACACAUGCAAGUCGAGCGGGCCCUUCGGGGUCAGCGGCCGACGGGUGAGUAACACGUGGGAACGUACCCUUUGGUUCGGAAUAACGCUGGGAAACUAGCGCUAAUACCGGAUACGCCCUUUUGGGGAAAGGCUUGCUGCCCAAGGAUCGGCCCGCGUCUGAUUAGCUAGUUGGUGGGGUAAUGGCCUACCACGGCGACGAUCAGUAGCUGGUCUGAGAGGAUGAUCAGCCACACUGGGACUGAGACACGGCCCAGACUCCUACGGGAGGGAGGAGUGGGGAAUAGUGGACAACGGGCGCAAGGCUGAUGGAGCCAGGCCGGGAGAGUGAUGAAGGCCUUAGGGUUGUAAAGCUCUUUUGUCCGGGACGAUAAUGACGGUACCGGAAGAAUAAGCCCCGGCUAACUUCGUG